AUUUCUCAUUGGGAAUUGUACCUUUACAUAAUGCAUCUUGGUUCUUAUUUUUUCCCCAUUCCUACCCUCCCUUCACGCCCUCCACCCUUCCCUAUUUACAAAGACUUUAUUUCCAUUUUUUCCAUUUCUCAGCAUUUUUCCUUUCCCCUGACCCUCCCACUACCCCAACCCCUUUGGACCUUUUCUUCCUAUUUUACAUUAUCGAUUAUUCAUUCUAAUCAUUGGUACAUUUUAGGUAUACAAUAUAAUGACAUUCAUCAUUGGAAAUUUGCACCUCUACAUAGUCUCUCUUGGUUCUUAUUUUUCACCCUUGCCCAGCCCUCCCUUCAAGCCCUCCAGUCCUCCCUAUUUACAAAGAUUUUGUUCCUAUUUUUCCAUUUUCUCAUAUUAAUCCCAUUCCCUUCUAUCCUUUCCCCUAGCCCUCCCACUUCCUUCCCCUUUGCCCCUUUUCUUCCUAUUUCACAUGACCUAUUAUACAUUUAGUCCUUAUUUACACUUUCAGUUUCUCACACCAGAGAAACUAUUCGGUAUUUACACAUGUACCACGCUAUUUUUAAAAGAAUCACCCGAAGUGACUCUUACAGAUUGCCUAUUUCUGUCUCCGGACUAGUACUUGUAACAGGCAGCCAAGGACCGAGAAGGGCUCCAGCAAACUUUAAUAAUCUUUAACUCUAGGCAAGGGCGCGCGAGCGCCGUGGAGGGAAGGGGAUAACCACACCUCCUGUGUUUGCUAAGGUUGGGGCGUACAGCUUGGUGCAAGUAGCCCGGGCAUCGGAAUAUAACGGAUGUGGACUUCGCCACGCAUUUGGUACCUGUACUCUGUGAGGCAAAUUACUUUCUCUGAGCAUUGGCUUUCUGGUCUUGAAACCGAGAAUAAUACCAUAGUUCCUACCUCGUGUAAAUUGUUCCUCUGCUUGAGCCAGGCGUGGUGGCGCACGCCUGUAAUCCCAGCACUCGGGAGGCUGAGCUAGGAGGAUCACUGUGAGUCCAAGGCCAGCCUGAACUACAGAGUGAAACCCUGUCCAAAAAAAAAAAAAAAUUGUUACGCGGCUAAGUGGGAUAGCUUCUGUUAAGCGCUGGCGAUCGGCAAGAGCUCUAUACACUGGAGGGUUGUGUCCACAUACAGGGUCUCAGAGCCACAUUCGGCUGAUUGGAGAUUUGUAAAACGUUUUUUUCUUUUCACCUGAACUGGACCCCAAUUUUGUUUACCUCCAAUUGCAGAUUAAAUGCCUGUCGCCGAAUAGGUUUCUGUGGAUUUGCCAGCCCGCAGCUGAAGUUUACCUUCACCGCUGUACAAAGACGCGGCACGCACGCGCAAGAAAAUGGGCAAGUGAACUGCCAAAGAAGUGAACAGCCAUGAUUCUGCGCAUGUGCAAGGCAUGGCGGGUUUUGACCUUUAAGAGAGCCAAUUCUGGAAAACAACCAAACUUCUUUGAUUGAAUACUCACAUGCGUUGGAACAUGAUUAGGAGAUUAAGGUAUCUUUCACUUGGCCUUAAUGAGUUAAAUGAAGAAAAAGAAACACCAUGAGUUAUAUUGUUUAAUAAUAAAAUGAAGACCAUAGUAAAACAGCCUCCUUCUUAGCCCAGCAAUUCUUAUUUUUCAAUCAGACUUGAAAGAAGAGAUUGAAGGCAUAGUGGCACUUUGAUAUUUCCAAUGGAGCAGGAUACAAGAAUGAAGAAAUGGCACAGGAUAUACCAGGAAAAGAUUGCCACAUAGCUAGUCCGGUUUGAAUGAAAAGAUAAGUAUGAAAGUUAAAUCAACUGUUCACUCAGCAUAGUACUCAAUAUUAAGAACAGUUGUCUAUGUUCAAAAGUUUGUAGUGAGUGCAAAUUAAGUAUUAGCUAGAAAAUUUGAAAUGUAAAUCCAUCAGAGAUAAUAGAUUUAAAUUGUUCCUGGGCUGGGGAUUUAGCUCAGUGGUUCCACUACCUGCCUACAAGUGCAAGGUCCCGAGUUCGAUCCCUGGUACCAAAAAAAAAGAAAUAGUAAAAAAAUAAAUUGUUCUUUAAAGUAGAGAUAAAUACAAAGGGGAUUAAUAGGUAUUUUAACCUCCAAAAGUAGCCUUAUUGAAAAAUCAAAGUUUGAGUAGGCAUCGAUACAGAUUAGGGGAGAAAAGAACUAGAAAAUAAUUCGUUGUAAGCAUCUCCAUUCUUCAGGGUGCCUUGAAGAGUCAUGCACUCAGAGAGGAUAAUCACUGCAUUGAAAAUGAUUAUAAUUUAUUUGUUCUACUUGCUACUUACCUGGUGACCAGAGGAGUAUCAUGCUUGGUCAGUCUUGCUAUCCAUUUACAACUAUUUUAUUAUGCUAAGAGCUCUUUCUUAAUAUAUAAUCACCAUACUUACAACGCACUAACAUAAUAAUCCCUUGCUAUAGUCAUACCAGUUUCUUUUGAACUCCUGAUUGUUUCAGAAAAAUGAACCUUCCAUUUGGAUUUAUUUUUCUUUUCUACACAAUCUCACUAAGUUUCCCAGGCUGGUCGCAAACUUGGGAUCUUCCUGAAUAGCUGGAAUUACAGCCAUGUGCCAUACAUAUUGCAUUCGGUUUUCAUGAUUCUUAAAAGAGAACUUUUAAAUGGAGUGAUAGUGUUUCCAUUGGAGAGAGAUGAAAUUGGAUAGAUUCUGAUUAUAUAGUCCUUGAUACUUUGGCAAAAAAAAAAAUAUAUAUAUAUAUAGGCUGUACUUAGAAAAUCAGGUACAGAAUGUGAAAAUGUGAAUUUUAGGAAGUUUCUAUGACUAAACAUAGAGGCCAGCUGAAAAUGCAUUGUAGCUUAUAAGGUACUUAGGCCUAAUUUAAAAGUAUAAAAUUAACAGUGUCAAACCAGUAGUUGAACUGAAAUCUCAAAACAGAUCAAUUGGUUUUGCUGGCUAAUUGAAUACAAGAAAUGAUUAGCACAGGACAAAAACUGAAUGUGAAGAGAGGAUGACAGUGGGCAAGUUUUCCUAGUUAGGACACAAAAGGGAACAAAAGAAAGUACCUGUGAUAAAAAUGUGAUGGUAAAUAGCAUAUUAUGUUCUUAUCAAAUGGCACUUCUUGACUGAACAGUAUGUUCAUAAUUUAGUCAUGUCUGAGAAGUAAAAAGUCAUCAAAACUGUUUUUAAGCCGGGGAUUUAGGUCAGUGGUUCCGCCGCCUGCCUCGCAAGCACAAGGUCCCGAGUUCAAUCCCCUGUACAAAAAAAAAAAAAAUGUUUUUAAAUAUAUGUUUGUCUUCUAAGUAGUUUUAACUUUGUAUAUAAGGAAACUUAAGAAAUCAAAGUGAUAACUUUAUUUGGAGCUUAUGUCUGUAAACUUUCUGGAAUAAACCCUUGAUUGAAAUCCACUUCAUAAUUAGUUUUUAAACCAUCAUUCAUUGUUCAUUUCUCCAGAAGAAAUCAAAGGGGGUGUAGAAAUACAAUGUAAAACCUUGUAUUUAGUAAAACUCAAAAUCUACGUUAUUUUUUGGAUUAUGUCUGAACAUUAUUUUACUGCAUGCCUGUAUGCUCAACACUGAAUUUUAAAAGAACUUUCUCUAUUUAAUCCAGGCUCUGUUCUGUUUUUUGUUUGUUUGGACGGUUGGUUAUCUUUUUUUUAUCAUUUUUUAUUUUGAGACAGGGCCUCACUAAAUUUCCCAGGUUACACUAGAACUUGGAAUGUUCCUACCUCAGCCACCCCAAGUGCUGGGAGUACAGGUGUGGUACUGCUGUGCCCAGCUACAUAGCCUUUUUAUUUUUAAGCAUUUAUAUCUAAGAAGCAAAAGAAAAUUUUAAUAUGAUCCUGUAAAGUUUAUUUGGACAUUUAUAAUAGAAUAAUGAAAAAAUUACCAUAUUAGUGAAAUUGUUUUAGCUAUGCCUCCUUAGAUCCUUCCUUAAAGAUACAUAUAAGAGCUUUUAAAUUUUUCUUUCGGAUAUAUUACUGACAUAUCACUUGAACAUUAUUCCAUAUAUAUCCCCUGCCCCCACCAUACAUGUGUCUUUUUUUUUUUUUUUCAUUUUGCUGUACUGGGGAAUUGAACUCAUGGACAUUCUACCACUAAGAUACAUGCCUAGCCCUUUUAUUUUGUGACAAGUUCUUGCUAAAUUACUCUGGCUAGGCUCAAAGCUUGGGAUUCUCCUCUAAAUUAUCUGGGAUUACAGGCAUACACCACUGUGCCUGGCAAUCCACUCUUAAGCAAAGAUAAUCAUUCUGUGUUUCAGUGGCUAUACAUAGUGAGUAUAGAGGAACACAGUAUAAAGCUUCACAGGCAAAAUGUGAAGCAUGUUGAGUAGUAAUCACUAUUAUUGUGUUGAUGCUAAAUUGAGUAAAAUUAAGUAUUCAAAUUAAUAUAGUGACAUACAACCAUAUGUCAAACUAGCAGGAAAAUCUUCAUGCCAUGUAUUAGCACCUGAAUAUCCUUGUUAAGUGACAGUGGAGACAGUUUAGUUUAAACUUGUAGAUCCAAAAGAAACUUAUUAAAAUAGUCCCUUAUUGAGGCAUAGAAUGAAACUACCUUUGAUAACUAUAAUGCUAGAAGAUAAAUAGAAAGGAAAAAAAAAUUAAACCUUACCACACUGGGAAGAGAUUACUAUUGCUGUUGCACACUAGAAAGAAAUGUACCUUCCAGUCUGCCUGAAAUUCCUCCACUGAACCUUUCACUUUGUUAAUACCUUUAAAUAAAAAAUUUCCACAUUUUUCAAGAGUAGGAACGAAUUUUUUCUAAUAGUUUAUGGUUUUCAAAUAAAAGUUAUUUUAACUAUCUCAGUUAAAAAUUGAAGUUAAAUUUAAAUAGGAGAAAAUCUUUCUCUGAGGUUGUUAAAACAAAAUUAUAGUAUUACAAUGUUUUAUUAAUAUUUUUGAAGAAGCUUAAAAUUCUUUAAUGUAAUUGAAAGAAACAAAUAAAUGUUAUUUCUCAAGUCAUUGCAAUAGAUCUAUCUUGGCUACAUGUUACAAACUGCUAUCUGGGGGUAGUGGCACACACUAGUAAUCCCAGAUAAUUGGGAAGCUGAGGCAGGAGGAUCCCAAGCUUGAGGCCAUCUUGGUCAACUUAGUAAAACUUUGUCUCAAAAUAAAGAGGGCUGGGAAUAUAGUUCAGCAGUUGAAUCCCUUCUUUUGAAGCCUUUGUGCCAUAAAUACAUAUAUACAUACUGAAACUUGACAGUAGUAGAGAAAUAUGUGAAGCACUGGUUGCUCAGAUACAGGAAUAGCUAUAUGUACUUUUUUUUUGUACCGGAAAUCGAACUCGGGACCUUACACUUGCAAGGCAGGCACCAGAACCACUGAGCUAAAUCCCCAGCCCUAUAUGUACUUUUUAAUAAAGAGGAAAGUACAAUACAUUAAUGUGGAAUUCUAUGUCUGUGCCUUGUAUAAAUAAUUAGAUAUACUAGAAGGACAAAUUUUGUUGCUUUGGUUAUACAUAUCAUCUUUUUAUACUAUAAUAGAAAUAGUGAAGAUUUUUAAAAGCCAUUUUAAUAAGAAAGCUGAGACAAAAAUGGUUGUUGAGCUUUGAGCUAGAGUAGUGAUGGUUUUCUGGUUUCUUUUGGAGAGAGGUCAUUUCUACAUCUAAGUGGAAACAAGGAGUGUACUCCCUUUCCUGCUGAAUAGAUUGAAUGGGAUAGACAAGACAUAGGAAGAAUGAGAGGCAUAGACUUUCUCUCUUUCGUAUUUCCUUUCACAAUAUUAACGUAUCAUUCCAAGGCUUCAUAAUCUAGAUAUGUAACUCAGAAUAACCAUUCUAAUGGAGAUAAAUGUUUAGAGUUAAUAUGUAGAUUUUUAUAACAUCUAAGGGAAAAUUGAUUUGUUUAAAGCUUUUGUAUAUUUUUACUACAUUUUGUAUUAAUAUAUUUCAUGUGGCUUCUGGUCUAUUUCUUUAAAAAUACAUUUGCAUUUUGCUAGCCUAAGUUUAUUGAAACUGUACUCUUGUAUUUCAUUUCAUGUUUUUCCCUUGAUAUAAAGUCUUACCUGUCUUGAUGAAGAUGUCUUUUGAGAUGUAUACAAGGAACAAAAUGCUCUUUGUAAAUUCUGCUCUUAAUAAGGUGUCAAACCCUGGGCCUUGAACAUGCUAACCAAGCACUAUACCACCGAGCUACUCCCCCAGCUCUUUUUUUUUUUUUUAAGGCUGUGUGCAGUGAAAAAAAUUUGACAAAUGUUUAGACCUUUUAUGUUAAAAUAACUGUAUAAAAUAACGUUACUUGCUGAGUUCAUGUGUGUAUGUGGUGUUUCUGUGACACAAGGCACUGGCUGAGGAUUGAAUCCAGGGCCUUUACAAUUAGCAACAUCCCCAGGUAGCCCCAACCCCCUUUUUGAGACAGAGUCUUAAGUUGGUAAGUUGCCUGGACUAGACUCAUACUUGUGAUCCUCCUGCCUUAGCCUCCCUGAGUGAUGUGAUUUCAGGUAUGCACCACCAUACCCAGCUCCCUGUACUUCUUAGGAACAGCCUUAACAAUUGUAUGUGCCUCAGCCUACUUGACCUUUGCAGAUAAGACAGUAUUUUUAUGAAUAUGAUUCAAGAUUAAAACAUCCAUCUGAGACCGUUUAGAGUCCAAAGAAAAUGUUUGAAUGGGUGGUUAAUAGGUUUGUAUGUAAUGAUAAUGGUAGUUAAUAGAUAUGUGUGUAAUGGUCAGGCUUUUAUGAAUUUACUAGUGACUCUGAAAUUGUUUUUCACUUGAUCAGCUUAGCUGAGUCCAAGUUAACAGUUCCAAGAGGCACUCAAAUUUGUUCAUGUCUGUCAUCUACCAGUCUUCUGUUUCGUGUUUUGUUUUAUUUUUUGAGGCAGGGUCUCAUUACAUAGUUCAAAAGCAAUUCUUUGUCUCUGUUUAAGUCUUAACAUUUUCAUCUAUAAUAUAUAUAUACCACUAAUUUAAUCUUUUAAAACACUUUUUUCCGGGCCAGGGAUUUAGCUCAGUGGUUUUGCCGCCUGCUGUGCAAGCACAAGGACCCAAGUUUGAUUCCCGGUACCAAAAAAACCCCAAAAAAACACUUUUUUCCUACAUGAUAAAACUCACACUCCUUAGCUUGAUACUUCAUGGUGUUGCUUUAGCCUUUUCUAAAUUGUUGAGUUUUCUUCAAAUGGACUAGAUAUAGUCCAUUUUUCCUUCUCUGUGCCUUUAUCCCAUUUCACCACUUUAGUUCUCCCUUAGUUAAUUUUGGUAUACUCUUUGAAAUAAGGCAAAAUCUUUCAUAUGGCAACACACCCAGUACUAAAGGUUUAACCAAUGGGUAUACUUAGCUACAACCCCAGCCUUCUUUUUAAAUUUUUAAAUGGGAUCUCACUAAGUUGCUCAGGCUGGCUUCAAGCUUCCAAUUUUUUGGCUUCCUGAGUAGCUGGAAUUAGACCAAUGCUUUACCAUACCUGGCAUAUCUUGUUCUUAAUGUUUUUGUCUACCUCAGCUCACCUAAGGGAUAUAACACUUGUUUUAUUAAUUAAGCCUCUUUCAUUUACACAUACCUUUCAGAUGUAUUAGUAAUAUGGAUAAAAAUUUUAAAAGAAACAAUGAAAAAAAGCAAGUGGACUAAGACAUCCAGAACUUCAUACAAAACACCAUACAAAAAAUUAUCAGAUUCCAAAGUUCGAAUAUUUUGACAAGUGAUCUAGUUGGGGUUUUUUUGUAUAGUUAUGUAUGAACCAGCUAUAGUAUAUUUUAUGAUUUUCAGCUUAAUAAAUACCCUUGUAAGCAGGAAUCCAUGUAUUUAUUGUAAGGUUUAUAAAAAAUUGGAAAAAUUUUAAGUGUCCAGUAAUAGGCUGAUUAACAUGCUCAGAAGAAUAUUGUAGAAGUGCUUAAAAUAUGUAAGUGAAUAUUUAAUAAGUUAAAACUUGCCUAUCAUUAGAUUGAAGAUGUAGCUCAGUGGUAGAAUGCCUAAGCAUCACCAAAAAUUGAAGUGAAUAAAGGUUAUCAAUACGCAUAUUCACUAGAAUAAGUUUACUUGGAUAAGAGAUAAAUCUUACUGGGAUGAAAGGGAUCUUAAUUACUUCUUGAGUUCUUGGUUGAGAGGUUUCGCUUUCUGUACUUUUUGCAUUAAAAUUCUUAAAAAGUUCUAAGUUUUCGUAGCAUAAAAGUAAAAAAUCUGUUUAAAAAAUAACAGUCUUAACCAAACACAGCUAUGGUUCUUAGCCUUAUACUCUUCUAAUUGGAUGUCUAAAUUAGUGAUUUUUGCAGUGCUUGAGAUUGAACCCUGGACCUCAAAAGUAGUAGGCAAGUUUUCUACAUCCCCAGCCCUUUUUCUUAAUAUAGUUAAUUUACUGUACGACUGAUAAGAAAGAACAUCUAUCUAUUAGAAAAGAGAUGUGAAGAUACACUUCUGGC
rnacentral:lncRNA from 1 species